GAUGAACGCUGGCGGCGUGCCUAAUACAUGCAAGUCGAGCGAACGGACGAGAAGCUUGCUUCUCUGAUGUUAGCGGCGGACGGGUGAGUAACACGUGGAUAACCUACCUAUAAGACUGGGAUAACUUCGGGAAACCGCAGCUAAUACCGGAUAAUAUUUUGAACCGCAUGGUUCAAAAGUGAAAGGCGGUCUUGCUGUCACUUAUAGAUGGAUCCGCGCUGCAUUAGCUAGUUGGUAAGGUAACGGCUUACCAAGGCAACGAUGCAUAGCCGACCUGAGAGGGUGAUCGGCCACACUGGAACUGAGACACGGUCCAGACUCCUACGGGAGGCAGCAGUAGGGAAUCUUCCGCAAUGGGCGAAAGCCUGACGGAGCAACGCCGCGUGAGUGAUGAAGGUCUUCGGAUCGUAAAACUCUGUUAUUAGGGAAGAACAUAUGUGUAAGUAACUGUGCACAUCUUGACGGUACCUAAUCAGAAAGCCACGGCUAACUACGUG
rnacentral:rRNA from 1 species